rnacentral:rRNA from 1 species
UACGGGGGGGGCAAGCGUUGUUCGGAAUUACUGGGCGUAAAGGGCGCGUAGGCGGCCUUCUAAGUCGAACGUGAAAUCCCCGGGCUCAACCCGGGAACUGCGUCCGAUACUGGGAGGCUUGAAUCCGGGAGAGGGAUGUGGAAUUCCCGGUGUAGCAGUGAAAUGCGUAGAGAUCGGGAGGAACAUCAGUGCGAAGGCGGCUCUCUGGACCA